rnacentral:sRNA from 1 species
AAGGAGAUAAAAUAACCGAUGAUGUG